rnacentral:rRNA from 1 species
UACGAAGGGGCUAGCGUUGCUCGGAAUUACUGGGCGUAAAGCGCGCGCAGGCGGUUCUUCAAGUCAGUGGUGAAAGCCCGGAGCUCAACUCCGGAACUGCCAUUGAAACUGUAGAACUUGAGGAUGAGAGAGGUGAGUGGAAUUCCCAGUGUAGAGGUGAAAUUCGUAGAUAUUAGGAAGAACACCGGUGGCGAAGGCGGCUCACUGGCUCAUUUCUGACGCUCAGGCGCGACAGCGUGGGAUCAAACAAGG